AGCUCACAUUGUAAAUCUGCCUUCGUGGCCGAAUUGUAGUCUGUAGAGGCGUGACCAGCCGUCGGCGAGGGCGAAGUCUCUUGGAAAAGAGCAUCAAGGAGGGUGACAAUCCCGUGAUUGCCCCCGCUUGACGCGCGUAUGGUCCGUUUUCAACGAGUCGAGUUGCUUGGGAUUGCAGCUCAAAGUGGGUGGUAAAUUCCAUCUAAAGCUAAACACGCGUGGGAGACCGAUAGCGAACAAGUACCGUGAGGGAAAGAUGCAAAGAACUUUGAAAAGAGAGUUAAAGAGUGCCUGAAAUUGCUGAAAGGGAAGCGAAGGAAAUCAGUGUCUGUCGGUUUUGCUUCUCCGUUCGUCUUCGGAGGUUCGGAUUGCGUUUCCGUCGUGGCCAGAGGCGGGUGUCUUUGCGGGAGCCUGCGUCGGGGGAGGUACGUCUCUUCGGAGAGGGAAU
rnacentral:rRNA from 2 species